AUUGAACGCUGGCGGCAUGCCUUACACAUGCAAGUCGAACGGUAACACGUUAAGAUGUUGCGCGGCGAACGGGCGAGUAACGUACCGGUACGUGCUCCGUCGUGGGGGAUAAUUUCUUGAAGGAGCAGGUAAUACCACAUACGCUCAGACGGCGAACGCCCGGGAUCGGAAGACAUCGCGCGUUUGGAGCUGCCGCUAUUAGAUUAGGCGAUUUCGGAGUAGCUGGUUGGCGGGGUAAAGGCCCACCAAGUCGACGAUCCGGAGCUGGUCUGAGAGGAGGACCAGCCACACUGGAACUGAGACACGGCCCAGACUCCUACGGGAGGCAGCAGUGGGGAAUUUUGGACAAUGGGCGCAAGCCUGAUCCAGCCAUGCCGCGUGGGUGAAGAAGGCCUUCGGGUUGUAAAGCGCUUUUGUCGGGAAAGAAAAGGUUCUGGCUAAUACCUGGGUGUCAUGACGGUACCUGAAGAAUAAGCACCGGCUAACUACGUG
rnacentral:rRNA from 1 species